GGGUUGUGAGGUUAAGCGACUAAGCGUACACGGUGGAUGCCCUGGCAGUCAGAGGCGAUGAAGGACGUGCUAAUCUGCGAUAAGCGUCGGUAAGGUGAUAUGAACCGUUAUAACCGGCGAUUUCCGAAUGGGGAAACCCAGUGUGUUUCGACACACUAUCAUUAACUGAAUCCAUAGGUUAAUGAGGCGAACCGGGGGAACUGAAACAUCUAAGUACCCCGAGGAAAAGAAAUCAACCGAGAUUCCCCCAGUAGCGGCGAGCGAACGGGGAGGAGCCCAGAGCCUGAAUCAGUGUGUGUGUUAGUGGAAGCGUCUGGAAAGGCGCGCGAUACAGGGUGACAGCCCCGUACACAAAAAUGCACAUACUGUGAGCUCGAUGAGUAGGGCGGGACACGUGGUAUCCUGUCUGAAUAUGGGGGGACCAUCCUCCAAGGCUAAAUACUCCUGACUGACCGAUAGUGAACCAGUACCGUGAGGGAAAGGCGAAAAGAACCCCGGCGAGGGGAGUGAAAAAGAACCUGAAACCGUGUACGUACAAGCAGUGGGAGCCUCUUUUAUGGGGUGACUGCGUACCUUUUGUAUAAUGGGUCAGCGACUUAUAUUCUGUAGCAAGGUUAACCGAAUAGGGGAGCCGAAGGGAAACCGAGUCUUAACUGGGCGUUAAGUUGCAGGGUAUAGACCCGAAACCCGGUGAUCUAGCCAUGGGCAGGUUGAAGGUUGGGUAACACUAACUGGAGGACCGAACCGACUAAUGUUGAAAAAUUAGCGGAUGACUUGUGGCUGGGGGUGAAAGGCCAAUCAAACCGGGAGAUAGCUGGUUCUCCCCGAAAGCUAUUUAGGUAGCGCCUCGUGAAUUCAUCUCCGGGGGUAGAGCACUGUUUCGGCAAGGGGGUCAUCCCGACUUACCAACCCGAUGCAAACUGCGAAUACCGGAGAAUGUUAUCACGGGAGACACACGGCGGGUGCUAACGUCCGUCGUGAAGAGGGAAACAACCCAGACCGCCAGCUAAGGUCCCAAAGUCAUGGUUAAGUGGGAAACGAUGUGGGAAGGCCCAGACAGCCAGGAUGUUGGCUUAGAAGCAGCCAUCAUUUAAAGAAAGCGUAAUAGCUCACUGGUCGAGUCGGCCUGCGCGGAAGAUGUAACGGGGCUAAACCAUGCACCGAAGCUGCGGCAGCGACACUGUGUGUUGUUGGGUAGGGGAGCGUUCUGUAAGCCUGUGAAGGUGUACUGUGAGGUAUGCUGGAGGUAUCAGAAGUGCGAAUGCUGACAUAAGUAACGAUAAAGCGGGUGAAAAGCCCGCUCGCCGGAAGACCAAGGGUUCCUGUCCAACGUUAAUCGGGGCAGGGUGAGUCGACCCCUAAGGCGAGGCCGAAAGGCGUAGUCGAUGGGAAACAGGUUAAUAUUCCUGUACUUGGUGUUACUGCGAAGGGGGGACGGAGAAGGCUAUGUUGGCCGGGCGACGGUUGUCCCGGUUUAAGCGUGUAGGCUGGUUUUCCAGGCAAAUCCGGAAAAUCAAGGCUGAGGCGUGAUGACGAGGCACUACGGUGCUGAAGCAACAAAUGCCCUGCUUCCAGGAAAAGCCUCUAAGCAUCAGGUAACAUUGAAUCGUACCCCAAACCGACACAGGUGGUCAGGUAGAGAAUACCAAGGCGCUUGAGAGAACUCGGGUGAAGGAACUAGGCAAAAUGGUGCCGUAACUUCGGGAGAAGGCACGCUGAUAUGUAGGUGAAGCGACUUGCUCGUGGAGCUGAAAUCAGUCGAAGAUACCAGCUGGCUGCAACUGUUUAUUAAAAACACAGCACUGUGCAAACACGAAAGUGGACGUAUACGGUGUGACGCCUGCCCGGUGCCGGAAGGUUAAUUGAUGGGGUCAGCGCAAGCGAAGCUCUUGAUCGAAGCCCCGGUAAACGGCGGCCGUAACUAUAACGGUCCUAAGGUAGCGAAAUUCCUUGUCGGGUAAGUUCCGACCUGCACGAAUGGCGUAAUGAUGGCCAGGCUGUCUCCACCCGAGACUCAGUGAAAUUGAACUCGCUGUGAAGAUGCAGUGUACCCGCGGCAAGACGGAAAGACCCCGUGAACCUUUACUAUAGCUUGACACUGAACAUUGAGCCUUGAUGUGUAGGAUAGGUGGGAGGCUUAGAAGUGUGGACGCCAGUCUGCAUGGAGCCGACCUUGAAAUACCACCCUUUAAUGUUUGAUGUUCUAACGUUGACCCGUAAUCCGGGUUGCGGACAGUGUCUGGUGGGUAGUUUGACUGGGGCGGUCUCCUCCUAAAGAGUAACGGAGGAGCACGAAGGUUGGCUAAUCCUGGUCGGACAUCAGGAGGUUAGUGCAAUGGCAUAAGCCAGCUUGACUGCGAGCGUGACGGCGCGAGCAGGUGCGAAAGCAGGUCAUAGUGAUCCGGUGGUUCUGAAUGGAAGGGCCAUCGCUCAACGGAUAAAAGGUACUCCGGGGAUAACAGGCUGAUACCGCCCAAGAGUUCAUAUCGACGGCGGUGUUUGGCACCUCGAUGUCGGCUCAUCACAUCCUGGGGCUGAAGUAGGUCCCAAGGGUAUGGCUGUUCGCCAUUUAAAGUGGUACGCGAGCUGGGUUUAGAACGUCGUGAGACAGUUCGGUCCCUAUCUGCCGUGGGCGCUGGAGAACUGAGGGGGGCUGCUCCUAGUACGAGAGGACCGGAGUGGACGCAUCACUGGUGUUCGGGUUGUCAUGCCAAUGGCACUGCCCGGUAGCUAAAUGCGGAAGAGAUAAGUGCUGAAAGCAUCUAAGCACGAAACUUGCCCCGAGAUGAGUUCUCCCUGACCCUUUAAGGGUCCUGAAGGAACGUUGAAGACGACGACGUUGAUAGGCCGGGUGUGUAAGCGCAGCGAUGCGUUGAGCUAACCGGUACUAAUGAACCGUGAGGCUUAACCUUACAACGCCGAAGCUGUU
rnacentral:rRNA from 1 species